CUCUUAUUUAUCGCUGGCCUGUUUGCAGACAAAAACAUCUGGUAGAUUGUUUGAACACACAAUUCAUAAUAAAAGACAAAGAAAAACAAAAGGCAAAAGAAAUCCAACCUUUGAACUUAUGAUAGCAAUCAGCUAAUGCAAUGGUGGGAGGUUUCGUGUUUUGUGUCUCCUUGUUAACUCUUGCAUCCCAUUGUAUGUUAACUCUUCAGUUUCUCGUCUACAUCUCCUCAUUCAAGUUUAACAUCUCCAAAAAAAAUAUGUAGAUGUCUGCCGUGGUUAACAGGAUAUGAGAUCACAUACUUCCAAUCUAAAUAUUUGUCAUGUCUGUAAUAAAUUUGCAGAAAUAUUUACCCACCCUGUCCCACAUCACCCACACUUGAGUGGGUUACAAGUUUGGCAAGAAAUAUUUGAGACUUUACAAGCCUCCGUUGUGAGUAAAAUUAACAUAUUCAGCAGUCUGGGAGCGUUUAUCAUGGUUACAGACUAAAGGCGUGGACUUUGGACAGCUCAUCAGAGCUAUGGAGGCUUGUGGGAAAACUAUAAACCAACAUAUCCUGUAAUUGCCAUUGAACUUUGAGUGACUGAGGAGUGAUGAUACAUUCUGAUACAUAUCACAGUCUGGAAUGCAUGUGGCGGUUCAACGUGCCGCAUUUGUGCAAUGAAUUCACUUCCCAUUUCAUCAGGCUACUUGUAGUAAUUUAGUAUUGUCAUACUAAGGGAUAGUUCACAAAAAAUAGAAGAAGAAAGAACAUUCUGUAAUCAUUUACUCAACAUCACGUCAUUCCAAACCAGUAGUGAUGAACCAAAAUGAAUAUUUUUACCAAGACAUUAAACCAAAAUUAGUUGGGGUAAUUAAAUUUGUGCAGUUGGGUAAUUGAACGCUUUAUGCUUUUCAGGGUGUCGUCUUUUCUGGUGAUAAAGCAGUUGUAGUGAAUACAUACAGCUGAGCUACUCAAGCAUAAUUCUUGGUAAUGGGGAAGAGCGCCCACACAGCUGACAUGGUUUCUUGUUUUAGGUUAUCCACAUUGUUUACAUGAAAUAGAAACUAGGGAUCUGAAACAGUCAAAACACAUCAUUAAAAACGCUUGAAAUAAAUAUUAC